GACGAACGCUGGCGGCGUGCCUAAUACAUGCAAGUUGAGCGCUGAAGGUUGGUACUUGUACCGACUGGAUGAGCAGCGAACGGGUGAGUAACGCGUGGGGAAUCUGCCUUUGAGCGGGGGACAACAUUUGGAAACGAAUGCUAAUACCGCAUAAAAACUUUAAACACAAGUUUUAAGUUUGAAAGAUGCAAUUGCAUCACUCAAAGAUGAUCCCACGUUGUAUUAGCUAGUUGGUGAGGUAAAGGCUCACCAAGGCGAUGAUACAUAGCCGACCUGAGAGGGUGAUCGGCCACAUUGGGACUGAGACACGGCCCAAACUCCUACGGGAGGCAGCAGUAGGGAAUCUUCGGCAAUGGACGAAAGUCUGACCGAGCAACGACGCGUGAGUGAAGAAGGUUUUCGGAUCGUAAAACUCUGUUGGUAGAGAAGAACGUUGGUGAGAGUGGAAAGCUCAUCAAGUGACGGUAACUACCCAGAAAGGGACGGCUAACUACGUG
rnacentral:rRNA from 1 species